rnacentral:tRNA from 1 species
GGGGCUGUAGCUCAGUGGGAGAGCGCAGAGCCUUGUGGCGAGAUGGAACAAAUAAGGAAGGCGUUCGCCGCAUAGCUCUGAGGUCGCAGGUUCAAGUCCUGCCGGCUCCACCA